rnacentral:lncRNA from 1 species
UUCGUUUUUAAAUCGGGUUUCAAACUGAUUUAAAAUAUUUUAUUAAAUCGGGUUGCCCGAUUUCAAAGAGUUUAUUAAAUCAGUUUGCCCGAUUUAAAAAAUGUUAAAAAAGUCAUUGGAAGUUUUUAAUAUAUUUGAUCCGAUUUAAAAUCCAAAAUUAAAUCGGUUCAAUCGAUUUAAAAAACGUUAUUUUAAAUCUGUUCAUAUCUCACCCGAUUUAAAUUCUAUUAAUUUUUUUCUUUUACUAUUGUUUCUCGAGUAACAUACACCAAAAUUUAUUUAAUCCAAAAAUCCAAAAUCAUCCGUUAAUAACAUAAAGUUACAAAAUUAUACUUCUACACUAAAAUCAUCAUACUAUAAUAAUAGAGUACCAUACACCUAAUAGCAUAAAUUAUACUUAUAUAUACUAAAAUUAUUCCAUAAUAGUAGAGUUAAUAUCAUAUACCUAGAAUCAUCAAUUAUAAAUCAUAAAGUUACAAAUGUAUACUUGUAACCUCGAUUCCUUCUAUUUGUAUGUUUAACUUUGUCUCCUCCUUUAUCAGUUAACUCAUAAGUUAAUUCUGAAAAGAAAUAAAAAAGAAGAUAAACUCAGCUCAACAUGGAAGCCUAAUAAAAUUGACAACUUAGAGAAAAUAAAGCCUAGAAAUGACAACAACCAAUAUCACAAAAAUCAAUUAGCAGCAGUAGUCAAGUAUGAUAAUUGAAUAAAUCUCUUUAAAAUACUAUGAUAAUGAUUACCAACACAUAGUUAACUAGCAAUCAGCCAAGAUGGGAAAUUGAAACUUAAACAUCAGCCCUCUCUACAAUGAAACAAAGAUGGUGGCAUUUAAGAGUUAGAUAUGAUCAUUUUUUUUCACCUAUAAAGAUAUAAUUAAUUUAUAAAAUGAGUCUUUAUUCCAAUCUACAUACUUUUCGGUUGAUGAUGGCAUCAUAAACCUUAUUAGUGAUCUUCUAUCUAGCCUCUCUAUACUGCACAAUCUUUUCAAAUGAUGAAAUAAUAUUCUGACAAACUCAUCACCAUCACCUCCGUGGUGAAACUUCUAAAGUCUUAAUAUACAGAAAGAUUCAAUCAAGAAAGAUCUUAAUAUAAGAUAUAGAUAUUACCUUUAAGUCUUAAUUUUUUCAACUCCUUGCAAAAACUAAGUCAUGCCAAUUGCCAAUUAUUCCAUAAAAACAUAACAGGAAAUGCCUACAAGAUAAGAAAGAAUCACAAUAGAAAAGAACAAAUCAAUAGAUUAGUGCCAAAGAAUAGUAUCAGUUUUACUUAUGAUAUAUACUAAGCAUUAGACACAUUUUCUAAUUCUACCAAAUGCUAACUAAAGACAAACAAAAGGGUAUGCUCUAAGCUAAAGACAAACAAAACUUAUAUACUCACAAUAANNNNNNNNNNNNNNNNNNUGGUCAAUGAAGAGAACUAAAAAUGAAGAUUCCAAACAAGCUUCAACUAAUGAUACCUCUCUAUUGGUUCUUCAAGUAUAACCAUAUCAAUAAAAUGUAUAACCUGCAUAGAAUACAAAAUUAUGAUCACAAUAUUGCUAAAAAGUACAAUCGUCCAUAAGAAUUAUCACUGCUUCUAAACUACCAAAUUAAAAGAGAAAAAGCACAACCAAAAAUUCUACAAAGCAAUCAGUACAUGUGAAUUGGUAAAAAGUCUUAAAUCACAAGGGAACUAAGA